rnacentral:rRNA from 1 species
GACGAACCGUGCGAACGUUAUUCGGAAUCACUGGGCUUAAAGCGCGUGUAGGCGGGCCAGCACGUCGGGCGCUGAAAUCCCCCGGCUCAACCGGGGAACGGGCACCGAUACGACUGGCCUGGAGGGGAGUAGGGGGACCUGGAACUUCCGGUGGAGCGGUGAAAUGCGUUGAGAUCGGAAGGAAGACCAGUGGCGAAGGCGGGUCUCUGGACAGUUCCUGACGCUGAGGCACGAAGGCCAGGGGAGCAAACGGG